rnacentral:rRNA from 1 species
GUUCGGAUCGCAGGCUGCAACCCGCCUGCGUGAAGUCGGAAUCGCUAGUAAUCGCGGAUCAGCAUGCCGCGGUGAAUACGUUCCCGGGCCUUGUACACACCGCCCGUCACACCAUGAGAGUCGGGAACACCCGAAGCCCGUAGCCUAACUUUAACGAGAGGGCGCGGUCGAAGGUGGGUUCGAUAAUUGGGGUGAAGUCGUAACAAGGUACC